GAAACACAUUAAUUUUGGUAGGGUUUGGGCCAGCAGAAGGGGCCCAGAGUGACAGAAAGGGAAGGGGAUGAAGGAAAAAGGAGGGAUUAUCGAACUGCUGCCUAACACACAUUGCCUAGUGCUGCUGGUUGCUUGCUUCAAGGCCACCCAUGCGGGCCUCUGGGAUUCUAAUCUGCCAAGCUGCACAUAGAUCUUGUUAAUUCCUGUUCGAGAAGCGAGUCUUCUGACUCAAAGUUAUACCCUAGAAUUUUUCCGUAUGAAGCUUUCACACUAUUGAGGACCAGAAAUGCAGAUCCAUUUGCUGAUGUGAUUUGACUAAUCCCACUAUAAUGAGGAAGCAGAACAGCUGAGAUGAAAGCCUGAGCCCCCACUGUGCAAAGCAUUAAGUGGGGAGAGAACUCUCUCUGAAGACAUUAUGGAGCCUGAACCACAGCACGGUGCUAGCUGUGUACAUGAGUGAUGGGCUUAGAAGAUUGGAUGGUGCAUUGGAGCAUGGUUGGUUCACUGUCACUGCAGAGCAUGAAAGCGUUUCUGCUUAUCAGCACACAGGCAUGAGCAUACAGGAGGGCAGUAUAUGGCUGUGCUUAUGUGUGUGAUAUCCAUUUGAAGCCACAGACCCUGGAAUUAACAGCAUGACUGCCAAGUAGCUUUCAUCACCAGUUCAUAAGACAUCAUCUUCCAGCCCCUUCUGAUUUGGGCUGUGGGUAAGAAGCUGGCAGCUGUGGGUUUCAAGAGCAAAUUUCGUUCUUCUAUUAUGUGAAAAGACUGAGAGAAGAUUCCUUUCAUCAGUAUCAUAGAGGGAAAGUAGAAUAUCAGUGCACAUAAUUUUCAGGGUGAGACUCCAACUGGCUUACAUUUAUGUGGGAUGGUUUAGAGUUGCAGUGAAGACUGUAGAUUAAGUCAAAAUUAUGAGAAACUUUGAGAAAAUUUGAGUUAUUUCUCUAAAAAUGCUGCAAGAAUUCCUUGAGGAAGAAGAUGCUGCUUGAUAGUACCCACUGUCAACACAGCAAAUAAUAGCACUGUCAACAAAGCAAAUAACAAUAACAAUAAAUGAGUAGUUUGAAUUAACCUGAGUUUGUUAACACUCAUUACUCCAGGUUAUACGUACUGGAGUUGUGCAAAGGGGGUAUAGCAAUAUGAAUGUGCAUGGUCUCAGCUUAGGGCCAGAAUGCUAGCAGAAGGAAUAAAAGAGAUGCAAAUUUCUUCAAGUGAAUUUGAUGCUUGUUAAAUUUGUCCGAAUAAAGAAGUGCUUCCUAAAUUUCACAUUAGUGGGAAGCAAAGAUCUUUUUUUUUUUUCUUCUCAAGAGUGUUCCUAUAAAAAAAGAUGAAAAUGUUGAGAAAAAGAUACAUAAAAGAAAGAUUUGUUUGUUUAUUUAUUUUAUACUGCAAAAGAUCAGAGAAUAUAUUAUUCAAAAUGUAUGCUCCACAAACAGCUUGAUAUGUGUCUAAUUAGUUUCCUUGGAUUUUUUAGCAGGAAAUUGCAGAGUAUUUCCCAAGUGGUUCUUUCUGUUGUCUUGACUAUUUUACUGAGGCAAAACCAAACCGAACCAAAACAAACCCUCUUUGCUUUCCAAGUUCGUCGUCAGUCUUAUUAGAGAUUUGAAAGAAAAGACAUGGAAACAAUGAAAACCUGACUUCCAAGAAAUGUUAGAGCUUCUGGUGUCAGAGAGUUUUUCCCUCUGGUUUGCACUGAGGCAAGAAAAGAAGUAUCAACAAACAAAAUAAUCAUAUAAACAUGCAUAAGCACGUUUAAAGUUUGAUGAAAUCUUGCUCUUCACUGUGGUUUCCACAUGGCAGAGGGCUGUAUCCAGGACUGGAGUUGAUUGAGAAGUUCCAAUGAAAAAGUAUUAUGCAAAAUAAUGGUGUAACAUUUAAACUGAAAGACAUUUGAUUCUUUCUAAAAUCCAUCAGUCUGGGGAGACGGGGAAUAGAAAGAAGUAGAUAAUGGUUAAUGCAAUCAUUUGAGGACUAAUAAACUAAGUUCAAAUCCAUAGUUUUCUGUGGGUUUCUCACAUUUACAAUGAAUGUUAUCCAUUCCAUCAGUUGAGAUGCUGCAGUUUAUCCCAGACAGCCUCACUCUGUUCUAAUGGAAAGGUUUUGCCAGGUUUCAUUUCAUUCUGCAUCAGAAGGAAAGCGCAUUUGGAAACCUCAGAUGCUUUCCUGAGGUGAAAAGGGCUGCUUUGCUCAGCAGAUCCCAGGGUUGGGCUCCAAAGUACUAUUUCUUAUGUUCAAACAUUGCAUAUGGAGAUCCUUCCUCUGACUGCAGUAGAAGUGGUGCCAAAGCCUUUUACUCACAGGUUACAACCGUGCUUAUAUAUUGCAUAAUAGUAUCACAACUCUUUUUCUUUUCACAAUUCAUUGUUUAGGAAAGCUUCCAAAUUUUUUAAUUUUAAUUUAUUUUCUUUCUAAACAAUGAACAUUGCCAUCAUUUAGUGAAUUAGUUCUGCCAACCUAAGGAUAUAAUCAGGGUGAGGCUUCUAGACAGACUGAGGUGCUCAUUUUGGUAGAGUUAUGAACCCUCAGGAUCACAGCUCUUCUUAGAGUUAAGGCCAGAAGACAG
ensembl:lncRNA